UUUUUCCUGGGGUGUUCGAUCACCUGCUGUUUUUGAACCUACAUUUGCUUUAAAAAGGGAUUCCCAUAUUUAUACGUGGAUGUCAGGCCUCCGUUUGCAGUGGAAGGCAGAAGCGUAUAUGCGGUCGCCCACCUAGAUUCGUCUAGGAGUCAAAAGGCGGGAACGGCAUUCCGGGUGGCGG
rnacentral:other from 1 species